rnacentral:lncRNA from 1 species
UGGUCAAGGAGCACAUCCACUCCGUUUUCCUUAAACCAUUUCAUUGCCUUGGCUGAAGCUUUGGGGCCGACGAAUUCCAUCAAUCUAGGACCCUUGUGUACCAGAGUCACCUUUUUAUCUGGGUAAUCUACUGCAAUCUCUCCCGCAAGUUCAACCCCUGAUGGACCGCCUCCAACGAUCAGGAUACAUGAAGAGUCUUUGAUCUUCUUGUUAUCUGCACAAACACGGUGAAUUAUACAGUUAAUAACGAUUGCGUGAGUUGUAAGCAAUUUAUAAUUGGAAAAAAAAAGGUAGAGGGAGUUGUCGAUCACCUGCUUGGAAUUCACGAAGCCUGUCUCCUUUUGUCACAGGAUAUGGAUCAUGGUGACCGGUUGCUAUGAUCAGGUAAUCAUAUGGAACCAGACGCCCAUCUUUAGUCAUGACCUCUUUCGAUUUAAUAUCGACUGCAGUAGUUGUCAUCAGAUUUACAUUUGUCAGGUAUUCUUUAUGAUUGAUGAUCGUCCUAUCGGCAAAAGUCGGUUCAACCUUGGCCCUCAUUUCCGCCCAUGUGAUCUCAAAGUACUCCUUCCUGGUUAUUUUUCACGGCACAACACAUUUCAGAAGAAAGAAAGAAAAGAAAAAACCAAAAUUCCGAACGAACGAGACAUACGGAUCGAUAAGGACGACAUCUGAAUGGGACUGGAGAGCUUUCGCAACAGUACCACCGGCGAUGCCUCCUCCGACGAUAACCACACACGGUUUCUUCCCCGCCAUGGAUCAAUAUCAAAAUAAGUUGUUCGAGGUGCGAAAG